rnacentral:misc_RNA from 1 species
GAUGAAGACGUAGCGAAAUGCGAUAAGUAAUGUGAAUUGCAGAAUUCAGUGAAUCAUCGAAUCUUUGAACGCACAUUGCGCCCGCCAGUAUUCUGGCGGGCAUGCCUGUUCGAGCGUCAUUACAACCCUCAGGCCCCCGGGCCUGGCGUUGGGGAUCGGCGGAGCCCCCCGUGGGCACACGCCGUCCCCCAAAUACAGUGGCGGUCCCGCCGCAGCUUCCAUCGCGUAGUAGCUAACACCUCGCGACUGGAGAGCGGCGCGGCCACGCCGUAAAACACCCAACUCUUCUGAAGUUGACCUCGAAUCAGGUAGGAAUACCCGCUGAACUUAAGCAUAUCAAUAAGCGGAGGA